rnacentral:lncRNA from 1 species
GCUUAGAAGAUCUACCACAGGUCAGACACAGAUAGAACCCAAACUGGGAUAGAUACUGCAUGUGAAUCAAUAAGGAGAAAGAUCCAGGAAAUGUAAUGGAAAGAGAAUCAAUAAGGAUGGCUACUGAAUGGAUGUAGAAGUUGAAUUAGAAGGAAAACUCAAGGAUAACUCUAAGGACUUGAACUUAGGUGACUAGAAAGUUGAAGGUUCAAAAAAAAUCAAUUGUAUUGAGGAGAAUGAAAGAGAAUUGACUUGGACACAAUUCAUACUUAAAGGACCAGAAGGCUGAACAAGCAAUGUGCUCUGACUACUAAAAAGCCAAUGAAGUCUUGGGCUGAAUUAAUUGAAGUACUAUGUUCAGAACAAGUAAAGUACAUAAUAACGCUGAACUCUUCCAGUAUGGAUUUUAUCUAGGAGGCUUUGCAGUCAUCCAGGACUUAAUGUAAGCAAGAAAAAAUCAUCAUCCACCAACUGCCGGGAGGAUCACGCUAUCUAUACAGAAAUCCUCUGAAACUUGAACUCUACUG